rnacentral:piRNA from 1 species
AAGUGAAACGUUGAGGUGGCUUGU